UCAUUGUGGUUCUGUAUUCUCCUAUCCAACACAGGUGAAAUCCAGAAGGCUAACAUUUAUAAAACUGGGCCUAGAAGACCCAGUAUUACCUGUGAAGCAAUGCAUGUCUCUGACAGACCCUGGGAUCGAACCUGUCUAUAGACUCCCACGCUAGAACGUUCCGCUGAAAGUUAAAACAUGUUGACAGCGCUCUUGUCAACCUCUCUGGAUGGGGAAAUGAAAGAGGAACAGUUUGGCUCAUAGGCAUGAACAUAUACUGGGCUGAGAUUGUCCCCUCCCACUUCCCUGUAAAGACCCAUCUCUAGUAGCCAUAGUGACCCUGAGUUAGGUAUAGGAGUUCUAGCCAAGAGGAAACAGGAAUGCAGAACAUAAACUGUGUCAGGUCAGGUUAACUAAGUCAGGCUUAAGGUUAAUGUUAAUUCAAAUUGAAAUUAGUCAGACUUAAAGGUGUGUGUUGAAAUCGAGGGAGAGUUGGGUCUCCUUAGUCUUGAGGAGAUCUCUUUUAGAGUAGGAGGUGUAGCCUAGAAAACCCCUCUAAAAAGACAGGUGGAAAUAAGGGUGGGGGGGGGCUAGAGAGGAGGAGGUCAGGGUCCCAGGAAGGGAGAGAAAGGGGGAGGGAAGAGAGGAGGAGGUCAGGGUCCCAGGAAGGGACAGAGAGGGGGAGGGAGGAGAGGAGGAGGUCAGGGUCCCAGGAAGAAACAGAGAGGGGGAGGGAGGAGAGGAGGAGGUCAGGGUCCCAGGAAGGGAGAGAGAGGGAAGAGAGGAGGAGGUCAGGGUCCCAGGAAGGGAGAGAGAGGGAAGAGAGGAGGAGGUCAGGGUCCCAGGAAGGGAGAGAGAGGGAAGAGAGGAGGAGGUCAGGGUCCCAGGAUGAGACAGAGAGGGACAUUUAAUUUCACUAAAACAUUUGUCAACAUUCUCAUCUUAGUAAAUGAACAUCGCUCUUACAUAAAGAGCUUACAGUUUUCCACAACAAUAUCACCACUACAAUCACCUUCAUUACAAUCUCUUAACAGUAAAACCUCCUUUGGUCAACACUGUACUGGUAUAAAGUAGUGUACUAUAUAGGGAAUAGGGUGUCAUCUCUCCAUAGGGUCCUGGUCUAAAGUAGUGUACUAUAUAGGGAAUAGGGUGUCAUCUCUCCAUAGGGUCCUGGUCUAAAGUAGUGUACUAUAUAGGGAAUAGGGUGUCAUCUCUCCAUAGGGUCCUGGUCUAAAGUAGUGUACUAUAUAGGGAAUAGGGUGUCAUCUCUCCAUAGGGGCCUGGUAUAAAGUAGUGUACUAUAUAGGGAAUAGAGUGUCAUCUCUCCAUAGGGUCCUGGUAUAAAGUAGUGUACUAUAUAGGGAAUAGGGUGUCAUCUCUCCAUAUAGUCCUGGUAUAAAGUAGUGUACUAUAUAGGGAAUAGGGUGUUAUCUGUUGGUUGACAUUAACUUAAUAGAAUCUAGCAGAAACCAUCAUGUUGUUAGGUCGUCAUGUUCUGACCGUCAUGUUGUUAGGUCGUCAUGUUCUGACCGUCAUGUUGUUAGGUCGUCAUGUUCUGACCGUCAUGUUGUUAGGUCGUCAUGUUCUGACCGUCAUGUUGUUAGGUCAUCAUGUUCUGACCAUCAUGUUGUUAGGUCAUCAUGUUCUGACCGUCAUGUUGUUAGGUCGUCAUGUUCUGACCGUCAUGUUGUUAGGUCAUCAUGUUCUGACCGUCAUGUUGUUUUGUCACCAUGUUCCAACACGACCGUCAUGCUGUUAGGUCUUCAUAUUCCAAAAAGCUCUCAGCAACAGAAUUAGAAUCACUCUGUUGCUAUGACGAUAAUCAUCGGAAAAGCUCAGGGGAUUACCUUGAUACACACACACACACACAUACACACACUCAGACACAAAUGCACACAAACACACGUACACUAACAAUGCUUGUGGGGACCCCGAUAUAAAAUCCUGUUUUCCCUAGCCCUAACCUUUCACCCUCAACUUAACCAUAACUCCAAAAAGUUACCAUAAUCCUAUCCAUAUCGCUAACCCACAUGGUCCUGUGUAGCUCUGUUGAUUUCUACUGCUGGUGAUGAUGAAUGGUUCUGGGUUCGAUUCUCACAGAAGAUAAAUGCACUCAUUACUAAACGUUGCAAAAACUAUGCUAAGAGGGUUUACUGUCUUUGGUCCCCACAAGUAUAGUUAUACCUGUAUACACACACACAAACACACACACACACACAUCAGUGGGAGGAAGAAACAGGGUUUGGAUUAAAGUCUAAUCCCCAUCGAAUCUGGAGCAGAAUGCAUGGUCGGAACUCACAACACACACCGGCAAGAACACAAACAGGAGCAACACACACAAAUUUUAGUUUUAACUAACUCUAAACCUAAACCGUAAACUGAAAAUAUUUAUCUUAAUUGUGUCCCUAAGCUUAAGUCGUCCUCAUUUUACCAUCCUUAAAGGGAUUUUCGGUCGUCACAACUAUACUAAAACGCACACGCACACAAUGAAUGAAGAAAAACACACCAGACUCCGUGAGUAAAAAAGACGAUGAAGACUGAAAACAUACUAUGAUAACUGCCAUGGCAACGGAGGUGGGGAGCAGUCCAACAGGAUGACAACAAUCACAGAAGCGUCCUUUACAUGCCCGACAACAUUCUCACCUGUCCUCAGUGUGCACGUUUCCGCAAGAACGUGCAUUUGAUACUGUAUGUGAGCAUGUUUGGGUCUGUGCGUGUGAUUCUGCACUUGACAGGACACAUGAGCGCAUUUGAGCAUGCAUGUCUGCUCCAGCACAGCAUCAUGGGUUGUUGUGAAACAGACACAUACUGCUCACCAGAAAUGCGUACCGUGUACAUGGAAACAAAACCUUUUCAUGUACAUGACAUGAUUUCCUUCAGGUGUGCCAAGUAAGUCAUGUGAUUGGUUGACGACGCAUUUCAACGAGGAAGAGGGCAGAGCUUGAACAUUAGACCCUGUUCUUGAAUUAUGUCCUAA
ensembl:lncRNA